rnacentral:snRNA from 1 species
UAUCUGAGCUUUUAGUCGGA